rnacentral:sRNA from 17 species
UGCGGGAUGCCGAAGUCGGGUCCCGAGCUUAACAAACUCGCUGAUAUUCGGGAGAUUGAACAUGGCU